UAGUCCUUGCUUAAUAAAUCUUGGGUGAUUGAAUAUGAUAGUAAAAUUUCAGGGAGGUUCUGCCUUUGUUGAGAGAAUAUUAAGCAUGAGGUGGAAGCUACUGAAGGAUAAAUGUUUAUAAUCUGUUGUGCUAAUAAGAGAUCUUUUUGUAAGUUGGUUUGCUGAUGUCCCAGUGCUGUGAGAAUGAGGAAUACCGGUAGGCCUUGGUGCUUGCUGUCGAAAUGGGCAAAUUCAUGAAACCUGGGAAAGUGGUGCUGGUCCUGGCCGGACGCUACUCUGGACGCAAAGCCGUCAUCGUGAAAACAUUGAUGAUGGCACCUCAGACGGCCCCUAUAGCCAUGCUCUGGUGGCUGGAAUUGACCGCUAUUCCCGCAAAGUGACAGCUGCCAUGGGCAAGAAGAUUGCCAAGCGUUCAAAGAUCGAGUGUUUUGUAAAAGUUUAUAACUACAAUCACCUCAUGCCCACAAGGUACUCUGUAGAUAUUCCCUUGGACAAAACUGUCGUCAUCAAGGAUGUCUUCAGAGACCCUGCUCUUAAACGCAAGGCCCGACGGGAGGCCAAGGUCAAGUUUGAAGAGAGGUACAAGACAGGCAAGAAUAAGUGGUUCUUCCAGAAAUUGCGGUUUUAGAUGUUUUUGUUUUAGUCAUUAAAAAUAUAAAAAAAAAAAAAGAA